rnacentral:lncRNA from 1 species
UAUAACAGCAAGGAAAUUGGUGCAAGUUGCGAUUGUAGAAUUCUCGUCGAAAAAUUUCAGUGGGUUACAACGAAAAUUUACAGCAACACAAAAUCGUUUUUAGAGAUGAAUUUCUUAAUAGAUCAAUCUUAGAUGGAAGCCAAGAUGAUCUAUGAAGUGUAUAAGAAAUUUCAUUCAAAAAAGAUUGCAAAUAGAUGGGUUAAGGCAACAAUAUGCGGCUGAAAAUUUU